GACGAACGCUGGCGGCGUGCCUAAUACAUGCAAGUUGAGCGCUGAAGGUUGGGACUUGUACCGACUGGAUGAGCAGCGAACGGGUGAGUAACGCGUGGGUAAUCUGCCUUUGAGCGGGGGACAACAUUUGGAAACGAAUGCUAAUACCGCAUAAAAACUUUAAACACAAGUUUUAAGUUUGAAAGAUGCAAUUGCAUCACUCAAAGAUGAUCCCGCGUUGUAUUAGCUAGUUGGUGAGGUAAAGGCUCACCAAGGCGAUGAUACAUAGCCGACCUGAGAGGGUGAUCGGCCACAUUGGGACUGAGACACGGCUCAAACUCCUACGGGAGGCAGCAGUACGGAAUCUUCGGCAAUGGACGAAAGUCUGACCGAGCAACGCCGCGUGAGUGAAGAAGGGUUUCGGAUCGUAAAACUCUGUUGGUAGAGAAGAACGUUGGUGGGAGUGGAAAGCUCAUCAAGUGACGGUAACUACCCAGAAAGGGACGGCUAACUACGUG
rnacentral:rRNA from 1 species